GACGAACGCUGGCGGCGUGCUUAACACAUGCAAGUCGAACGAAGAGCGACGGAAGCUUACUUCUAUCAAUCUUAGUGGCGAACGGGUGAGUAACGCGUAAUCAACCUGCCCUUCAGAGGGGGACAACAGUUGGAAACGACUGCUAAUACCGCAUACGAUCUAAUCUCGGCAUCGAGGAUAGAUGAAAGGUGGCCUCUACAUGUAAGCUAUCACUGAAGGAGGGGAUUGCGUCUGAUUAGCUAGUUGGAGGGGUAACGGCCCACCAAGGCGAUGAUCAGUAGCCGGUCUGAGAGGAUGAACGGCCACAUUGGGACUGAGACACGGCCCAGACCCCUACGGGAGGCAGCAGUGGGGAAUCUUCCGCAAUGGACGAAAGUCUGACGGAGCAACGCCGCGUGAGUGAUGACGGCCUUCGGGUUGUAAAGCUCUGUUAAUCGGGACGAAAGGCCUUCUUGCGAAUAGUUAGAAGGAUUGACGGUACCGGAAUAGAAAGCCACGGCUAACUACGUGCCAGCAGCCGCGGUAAUACGUAGGUGGCAAGCGUUGUCCGGAAUUAUUGGGCGUAAAGCGCGCGCAGGCGGAUCAGUCAGUCUGUCUUAAAAGUUCGGGGCUUAACCCCGUGAUGGGAUGGAAACUGCUGAUCUAGAGUAUCGGAGAGGAAAGUGGAAUUCCUAGUGUAGCGGUGAAAUGCGUAGAUAUUAGGAAGAACACCAGUGGCGAAGGCGACUUUCUGGACGAAAACUGACGCUGAGGCGCGAAAGCCAGGGGAGCGAACGGG
rnacentral:rRNA from 1 species